GUGCUCGCUUCAGCAGCACAUAUACUAAAAUUGGAACAAUACAUAGAAGAUUAGCAUGGCCCCUGCGCAAGGAUGGUUCCAUAUUUUUGAGGGUGUCUGAUCAUGGUG